GUGUGGGACACCGCCGGGGGUGGGAGCGGGCAGCGAGCUCGGGGUGCCCCGGGCCGGCCCUCCGCCUCUGCGGCCAACUGCCGGGCAGGGAGGUGAGGGGGAAAGGGGAGCCCACCACCGCUGUCACCGUGCCCAGAGGCCUGCCGUCAGCCUCCGACAAAGGUCUCCGGGUCUGCCCGUCCCGCUCUGCUUCCUGGGGGCUGGGAGACAGCCGCCUCACCCGCGCCUGCCAGCAUGGAGCGUAAGGAGCGGGCCUGGCCAGGGUGGCCGAAGGCCCGGCUUGCUGUCUGCUGGGACGGUUGGGAUCUGUCACUGUCUGCAGGGACUGUGAGGUCCUCGGGGAAACAAUGAAGUAAAUGCCCGGCUCUCCACAAAGCAGCGUAAGGCUGAGCUUUGAAGGAGACAAAGAGGGCUUUAUUUCACCUCCAAACCAAAUGCUUCAGAGAGAAAGGUCAUCCCUGCCAUUUUCGCCUGCCACAGGAAAAGCAGAGGCAUGGAGAGCCACAGUCCAAGUACUGUAUGGAAGUAAAUACUAGUUGUAUGUGGACACCUUUGCUGAAGUGGCUAAGGAGCAGAGCUAGCUCUUUCCUUCUCAAAAUCCAGAUGUAUCAAAUAACAGACAUUUAAGAGAUACCGUUUUGGAGCCUGCAUCGUUUCUGAAGAAAAUGUGGAUUUAAGGCACACGUGCUUGAUUAAGGUGUCUAAGAGAACAUGAAGAACUUCCUGCAGUCUGGACUUUUCCUUCAGAGAGGUUGAGGAUUUGGAAGGUACAUUUUUGUACCCCAGGAUGAAAACAUGCUAGUAGAGCUAUGCAUAAUAUCUGUUUAUAUUCUGCGCAGGAAUUUAUUGUGAUUAUAAUAACCAGAUUGAUAUCUAUGUUUUCGGUGACUACUUGGAUGAAAUAAAGAAUGAAGUGUUAGCAGCUCAACAUGAUCUCUGCUUUUGAGGAGGGCUAAAGAGAUGUUUAAAAUCAUCUUCUGAUUCCAGGCUUUAUUACAGAAAGCAAGCAUUCUGUGCAUUGGAUACCAAACCGCAUAGUGUGACUGAAGUCCAAACUAUGCUUCUCCCAAGUUUAAUCAGUGUCUUGUAUGUAGUAUCAUACGUGCUUCUGUUUGCUGUCAUUUUCCAUCAUGAAUUUUCUGGUUGUCUGUGCUCCCAGCUGCGUGCAAUACCUCCCUCUUGCUGAUUUGCUAGUAGCACCAUGUAAUCAGCUCAUGCAGUAUUUCUUUAAAUCCCAUUUUCAGGCAUUUCCUGGUCUGUGCAUCCUGCUCCGUGACUGCACGUCUACUCCUGCUCUAGAUACAUUCAUUUGUCUUCUGAUGGGUUACAAACUUCCUAGUCAUUAACCUAUUGUCUAAUUACUUACCUGUCACAUCUGCAAGUGUCUUUUUACUCCAUCACUCAUUGCUACUGUGGAAGACACAAUACUGGCCUGGAUGGACAAAUAUGCAUGCCCAGUAGGCUAUUAUUCCUUAUGUACCUACCUCAGUUGCACUGUCUGUACUACCCUGCUUUAGCUUACAUAAUGGGUUGUAAAGGAGACCAC